GCUGGGCAUGGUGGCGCGUGCCUAUAAUCCCAGUUACUCAGGAGGCUGAGGCAGGAGAAUCUCUUGAACCCAGGAGACGGAGGUUGCAGUGAGCUGACAUCAUGCUACUGCACUCCAGCCUGGGCAACAGAGUGAGACCCUGUCUCAA
rnacentral:sRNA from 1 species